GGCAGCCAAAGCCUAGCUUGAGAAGCUGUGGACAGAAGGCGCAGUUAGCUAAUGGCUGAAUAUAAGAAACAGGCUCUGGUCUCCCAGGUCAAUAUGAGGCUGCCUGAUCUGUAAAUCAGCAGAAGUCCCCAUUGUCCAGUGCAAGGAAGGGGCAGGACGGACAUAGCCUGACGGGGAGGGUGCAGCCAUUUAAGUCGUGCCUGCUUCCUCUUCACCUUCUGUCAUGAUCGUAAUUUUCCUGAGCCCUCCUCAGAAGCUGGGCAGAUGCCAGCACCAUGCUUCCUGUAUAGCCUGUGGAACCAUGAGCCAAUUAAACCUCUUUUCUUUGCCCAGUCUCAGGUAUUUCUUUAUUUUUACUGUUAUUUUUUAUUUUUAGAUGGAGUCUCUUGCUCUGUUGCCCAGGCUGGAGUGCAGUGGCAAGAUCUCGGCUCACUGCAAGCUCCGCCUCCCUGGUUCACAUCAUUCUCCUG
rnacentral:lncRNA from 1 species